ensembl:lncRNA
CAGAAAUUUGACGAACACUUUGUCCCGAAAAGGAACGUCAUCCACCAUCGCGCCUGUUUUCACAAGCGGAGCCAGAGGGCCGGUGAGACAGUGGAAGCUUUCGUGCGGAGCCUGUACGAGCUCGUGCAGCACUGCGAGUUCAGUGUGGGGAAGGACGAGCAGAUCUGGGACCGCAUGGUCAUUGGAAUUAUAGACAAAGAGGUUUCUCAAAAACUACAGCUGGAGGCGGACCUGACUUUGGAGAGAGCCAUCCAGCUUCAUCCACCGUCAUGACUGAAGAGACUUUCAGCAAGCUACGUCAAAAACCCAAACUGAACAAGUCCAGGUCAACAGUGUAUAGCCCAGGCGGGAAAGUCCAAUGCGUGGGCGCCACCUCCAGACUGUUCCUGAGACCGAACCUUCUGCGGACCAGCGAAGCGCUCAGGCUACAGCGUCCCAGCAGAACAGCGGUUCCCCACAGCCAGAUUUGACUGCGGUGCCGGAACCACCGGUAAGCUUGCCACCAGCAGGCCUUCCCUCAGGGUCUCCCCUUCCACCAUCUACUCCAGUGCGAAGAUCUUCCAGGGGCCGCAAGAUAAAGGUGCCUCUUAGAUUUCAAGACUGAUGUACAAAAGGGCAGAAUAAUCCCUUUCAGGACUGAGGGCAGUCUACCCCUGUAACGUCUUGCACCGUUCUGAGUCUAUGUACCAAGACUGUAAGGGAAGACGUGUUUUGGUUACGUGGUGUUGUAUCUACUUUGUUAUAUUGUUUGAGAAUGUUAAGAAUUAAGUAAUAUUGCAAAAUUCAGAUGUUUGGCAUCUUGUUAUUGCUAACUCCCAAAAGGGGGAGAUUUUGCGAGAUUGUGUUUUGUCCGUGUAAAGCUACCGUAGUUGGGAGUAGGCUAACCAGGAGUGGAACGGCAACGUGGCUGUUGUUGUUCCGAGUCAAACGCAUAGCUUAAUAGGUUGCUCUGGGCUGUGCAAAAUGGUAAAUGGUAACGGUAAAUGGACUGUACUUGUAUAAAGCUUUUCUAGUCUUCUGACCACUCAAAGCGCUUUAACACUACAUAACAUCAUUUACCCAUUCACACCCAUUCAUACACUGAUGACAGGAGAAUGGAGAGAUGAUGGAGAGAGAUGGAAGUAAAAUAAACAGUGGUGUGACUUAAAGCACUGCUAUGUUAAGCAAGCUGCUAGGCUAAGCUAGCUGCUAUGCUAUUUCCAUCUCAACAUCUAACGUUACCCUGCGCGGCACACGGUCUGCAGAGGAGGGGAGAUUGUCGGCACAAUCCGUGCCAGUCGUUAAAUGAAGGAGAGUUGAGAGCAAAGUGCACGAGGACUAGCAAGAGUCGCUAGUACAACAUGUUCCACCCGGUGGAAUUCUGCCUCCAAGAUGAUCUAAUGUGUGGAGUCUUGUGUUUAAAAUAACAUUAACAAUUAAACAACAGUGUCUAAAAUACACACUUUCUAAAGUGAUUACUCAUUACUUUUAAUAUGUAGUCUUUAGAAGAAAACAAAC